GCGGGACACGUGGUAUCCUGUCUGAAUAUGGGGGGACCAUCCUCCAAGGCUAAAUACUCCUGACUGACCGAUAGUGAACCAGUACCGUGAGGGAAAGGCGAAAAGAACCCCGGCGAGGGGAGUGAAAAAGAACCUGAAACCGUGUACGUACAAGCAGUGGGAGCCUCUUAAUGGGGUGACUGCGUACCUUUUGUAUAAUGGGUCAGCGACUUAUAUUCUGUAGCAAGGUUAACCGAAUAGGGGAGCCGAAGGGAAACCGAGUCUUAACUGGGCGUUAAGUUGCAGGGUAUAGACCCGAAACCCGGUGAUCUAGCCAUGGGCAGGUUGAAGGUUGGGUAACACUAACUGGAGGACCGAACCGACUAAUGUUGAAAAAUUAGCGGAUGACUUGUGGCUGGGGGUGAAAGGCCAAUCAAACCGGGAGAUAGCUGGUUCUCCCCGAAAGCUAUUUAGGUAGCGCCUCGUGAAUUCAUCUCCGGGGGUAGAGCACUGUUUCGGCAAGGGGGUCAUCCCGACUUACCAACCCGAUGCAAACUGCGAAUACCGGAGAAUGUUAUCACGGGAGACACACGGCGGGUGCUAACGUCCGUCGUGAAGAGGGAAACAACCCAGACCGCCAGCUAAGGUCCCAAAGUCAUGGUUAAGUGGGAAACGAUGUGGGAAGGCCCAGACAGCCAGGAUGUUGGCUUAGAAGCAGCCAUCAUUUAAAGAAAGCGUAAUAGCUCACUGGUCGAGUCGGCCUGCGCGGAAGAUGUAACGGGGCUAAACCAUGCACCGAAGCUGCGGCAGCGACACUAUGUGUUGUUGGGUAGGGGAGCGUUCUGUAAGCCUGUGAAGGUGGCCUGUGAGGGUUGCUGGAGGUAUCAGAAGUGCGAAUGCUGACAUAAGUAACGAUAAAGCGGGUGAAAAGCCCGCUCGCCGGAAGACCAAGGGUUCCUGUCCAACGUUAAUCGGGGCAGGGUGAGUCGACC
rnacentral:rRNA from 1 species